UACGUAGGCAGCAAGCGUUGUUCGGAAUUACUGGGCGUAAAGAGUGUGUAGCGGUGCCGUAAGUUUGGCGUGAAAUCUCCCGCUUAACUGGGAGGGUGCGCCGAAGACUGCGGUGCUUGAGGGUUGGAGAGGAAAGUGGAAUUUCUGGUGUAGCGGUGAAAUGCGUAGAUAUCAGAAGGAACACCCUGUGGUGUGAGAUCGGC
rnacentral:rRNA from 1 species